GACGAACGCUGGCGGCGUGCUUAACACAUGCAAGUCGAACGGAAAGGCCCUGCUUUUGUGGGGUGCUCGAGUGGCGAACGGGUGAGUAACACGUGAGUAACCUGCCCUUGACUUUGGGAUAACUUCAGGAAACUGGGGCUAAUACCGGAUAGGAGCUCCUGCUGCAUGGUGGGGGUUGGAAAGUUUCGGCGGUUGGGGAUGGACUCGCGGCUUAUCAGCUUGUUGGUGGGGUAGUGGCUUACCAAGGCUUUGACGGGUAGCCGGCCUGAGAGGGUGACCGGCCACAUGGGGACUGAGAGACGGACCAGACUGCUACGGGAGGCAGCAGGGGGGAAUAUUGCACAAUGGGCGGAAGCCUGAUGCAGAAACGCCGCGUGCGGGAUGACGGCCUUCGGGUUGUAAACCGCUUUCGCCUGUGACGAAGCGUGAGUGACGGUAAUGGGUAAAGAAGCACCGGCUAACUACGUG
rnacentral:rRNA from 1 species